UCCAAUCUUCAAUUUGUUGCAGCUCUUUGUGAUGGUGACAAUAUGGGUUUGGAAUCUGUAUCUGAGGAAGCAUUGUCUUCUCGGGAGCAAACCAAAAGACCAAAACUGAGCUGUAGCAGAAAGAAAAAAUCAGCUGAAAGCACAGCUCUUGUUUGUAGAGAUGGUGCACCGACAAAUACUCCCGGAGUUGAUAAUGAAAAGCCGGAUUCUGAGACUAUUCCGGAGGUCUUUCCUCCUAAGAUGGCAGCAUUGCAUAAAGUGAGAUGGAACGUUAACAAGGGUAGUGAGAGAUGGUUGUGCUUUGGAGGAGCUAAUGGACUUGUACGUUGUCAGGAAAUUGUUUUCUCUAAUAUUGAUAAGAAAAUGGCCUUGAAGAGAUGAUAG
rnacentral:lncRNA from 1 species